UCUGCGAUGACGAGAUUAGGCACCCUUGGGUGCUUUAAGGGCAGUGGAUUCAUCUCCGUGAGCCCAUCAAUACACGACUUCUCCUUCCACCGAGCAAA